ACGAGCUCCCCGAACGUUAUUCGGUAUUACUGGGCUUAAAGAGUUCGUAGGCGGCCCGACAGGUGAGGUGUGAAAUCCCUCGGCUCAACCGAGGAACUGCGCUUCAAACCGUCAGGCUUGAGGGAGAUAGAGGUGAGCGGAACAGAUGGUGGAGCGGUGAAAUGCGUUGAUAUCAUCUGGAACACCGGUGGCGAAAGCGGCUCACUGGAUCUUUUCUGACGCUGAGGAACGAAAGCUAGGGUAGCGAACGGGAUUAGAUACCCCGGUAGUCCUAGCCGUAAACGAUGAGCACUAGCCCGUGGGGACUCUCACAUCCUCUCGGGCGUAGCGAAAGUGUUAAGUGCUCCGCCUGGGGAGUAUGGUCGCAAGGCUG
rnacentral:rRNA from 1 species